rnacentral:rRNA from 1 species
UACGGAGGGUGCGAGCGUUGUCCGGAAUCAUUGGGCGUAAAGGGCGCGUAGGUGGCCCGGUCAGUCGAUGGUGAAAGCGCGGGGCUCAACUCCGCGUCGGCCGUCGAUACUGCUGGGCUUGAGCACUGUGGAGGCAGGCGGAAUUCCGGGUGUAGCGGUGGAAUGCGUAGAGAUCCGGAAGAACACCGGUGGCGAAGGCGGCCUGCUGGGCAGUGGCUGACACUGAGGCGCGACAGCGUGGGGAGCAAACAGG